AGUGUGUGUGUAUGUGUGUGUGUGUGUGUGUGUGUGUGUGUUUGGAUGCCCGUGGACACUAAAGGUCGAUGUUAAGUGUAGUUCUUCAGUAAUGUGGCCACCCUAUUAUUUUGAGACAGGGGAUCUCUUUCACCUGCAGCUGAGAUUCCAUGAAGCUGGCUAUCCAGCAGGGAUCCUACUGUCUCUGCCUCCCCAGCGCUGGAAUUACAGGGCAGAAGGCACCCCCAUUCCCUUCUUGACCACCCUGAGCCAGACUGGGAGAGUGGGACAUGUGGCACUGCUCCAGGUCUGAGCACACAGUCUAUACCAUAGGCCUCUACCUCCUGCCCCAUCCCAGGAGGCAGGAAAUGAAAUUAUGACCUUGUCCAGGCCCUACAGAAAGAGACCCAGAGACCUCCCACAGCUGGUCUUUCCUGAGAGGACAGGCCAGGAGACUAGGUGAGCUCAUCUGUAUCCACUCAAGAUGCUUUCUGUUUCAGAGAGGGUUCAUGGUGACCCAACUGUCCUAACUAAAAGUGGCAGUGGGCUGGUAUAGGCCAGCUUGGAGCCCAACACUGGGCACUGGGUCCUCAUCACCUGGGACCCUACAGAAGGCGGGAGGGGUUUCAGUCACAGACAGUAGUCAAGAUGGUCUGGUCAGUAGUCAGUGUGCUCAUCCCACACAACAGCUGGAAUUGGUCAUAGAAGGACAAUAGGCAGCAGCCUCAGGUCUAAUGCCAGACAGCAGCUGGGCAGGCAGUUGAAGGUUAGGGUGUCCUGCUAGUCUGUGAUGAAGGCUCAACACCUUACUGCCAUCCAGUGAUGCCAGGAAAUUGUCUAACUGUGCUUUACAGUUAUGAGUCCUGGGGUGGGGAUCCUUUUCUCUGUAGGGAAAACAACAAAAACACCCAUUUUAGUAGCAAAUCACACAACUGCCAAGAUGAUUUU